rnacentral:lncRNA from 1 species
UUUGCAGUCCCUCUGCUAGCUCAAUUCCUAGUCAAACUUUGACUCUAAUAAAUACCCCAUCCAAAUUCAUCGAUACAAAUCAUCAUCGUCAUCAAUUUAUCAUCAAUCAUCAUCUCUGUUAAUGGUUUAAGUUCUUUUACAUAGCCAAACUCUAGAGUAAAAGAAGAUUACGAACCCAAUUGGAAGUGUUUGAACUUUAAGCAAAAUAGCCAGCCAUGUAAUUUAAGGUAAAUGGUUUAAGUUUUGUACUUUUCGAUUUGAAUCUUACUUUGUUGCCUUAUAAAUCAAGAACAAUAAAAGAUUACAAACACAAUUGGAUGUCAAGCUUGAUUUACUUAUCUUGUUAGUAUAAAUUAAUUUCAUAAAAGGAAGUCGGACUUGAUUUAUUUAUUUAUCUUUUCAAUUUAUUCAUGAUUUGAAUGUUAAUUCAUAGACAAAACUCAAACCAACAACAUGCAUCAACUUCGAUAAAACCAAAAAGGUCCAGGAGGAUUAAUCUUGAAAGAUUAUAAGCUGUAAACACUUGAUGCUUUUCUGUUAGUUGAGGUCGUUUUAUAGUAAGCGGAUUUGCUUUUGUUGGACCAGACCUUGCUAAGCUCAUGCAUUUAGACAUUUAUCACUUGCUCUAUUACUUUGUUUGUCAUAUAUGUAUCUAGUCUAAAGCUUGGUCAACAUGUAGUAUGGGAAUUUGCUUUCGUUUGAUAAGACCUUAAAUUAUAAAGAUGGUGAAGAUCUUAGACUUUAGACUACUUAUUUGAAUUGUAAACUUAUGUUAGUUGAUUUUUUAGUUCGAUUUAUUUUUUAUUUUAUUUAAACUUUAAACUUUAAACAAAAACAUAUUCAUUUAAAAAAAAUUGUCUGACUUCAUUUCAUAAAGCUAUCCGGGUUUAAAAUCCACAAUUCAAGAACCCAGAUCUUUCUGGGUUUAACCCAGCCUACACCUAGAGUUAAAAAUCUGGGUUUGCAUCCAAAUCUGGUAUCAUAAAUUGCCAUUUCGUUCUAAAAGCGAAAAGGCAAAACCUAGAUUCGAACUUAGAUUUUUCCAUCCUUAGAUGAUGAGUCACCUUUAAAUUGUAAGCAUUAAAAUGAUGAAGACGUUGUAUCAUCUUUUGUCACUUAGCUUUAGAUGUGUGUUUGAGCUUUUGUGUAUUUUAUGUAUGGUAAGAAGUUGUUAAACUCACUAGCUUGACAAGGCCAAUGCCGCCAUUCUUAGUGCUAACCAUAACAAGCUUUUAAUAGGUACUUAUAGGUACAACUUGAUUUGAUUGCUUAAACUAAUAUUGCUACUGAAAUGAAAUAUUGAGAUUACUUCUUUUGCUUUGUAUGUUUUAAAGAAUGAUGUCCAGGUUAUUCAGCCUUUAGUUUAUUUGUUUGUUAGUGAUAUUUUAGUACAAAAUAUACUGAUGAUUGAGUUUUCUCAUUAAGAAAAUAUGUGGGAAGCAUUGGCUUAGUUGUUAUAUUCUGACUUUAAGUUGGUAAGCUAAGCUUUGCUUAGGAUUACAUAAUAUUUGAUAUCUAUGUAUAUGCAUUUGUUUUCUCUUAUUUGAAUAAAGUUUCAAAUGAGCAAAUUUCCUUCAUUUUCUUAAAUAGAGUUUAGUACAACCAUAUCUUGUCAACAUGCUACAUAUGUGUAUAAAAGCAUAAUACAGUUAGGCAUAAUACCAUUUGGCAUAAUAUACUUCUAGAUUGAAUUCAACAAUGGUAAAUCUAGAAGGAUAACAUUAGGUACAUUACAACAUUGAAUAUGAAAAACACGACAUCUAAGAUCAUAAAUAUCUUCAUAAUAGUAUAACCCUUAAGUGGUUGUAGCAACUUCUUCAACAUAUCUUUUAGCUCCUCCACAUCAUUUGAAGUGCAUUUAGCAGCUUCUAAUCCACAAAUGUUGCCAUACCCCUUUAAAAAAUAGAUCCAUUGUUAAAGUUAGUCCUCUUUAUCAUCCAUUAUCUAAAAUAUCCACACCUUUCUUCUUGGCACAAUGAUAAUACAACUUGUGUGGAUUGUCAUUAGAUUCAGAAACCUUCAGAUAAGCUCUCAUUAGACAUUUGUACAUUAUGUUUGAGUACCUAAUGAUCUUCCCAUUGACACAAUUCCUCCAAAUUUGAUAGUAAAAUGUGUUUGAUUUGCCUGAAGUGUUUGAGCUUUGAUAUUCCAUGUAUGCUUAGGUGCUUAUUAUUGUGUUCAGGAAAUUAAUGGUUGAUGAUUCUUUGUAAAAAUAGAGUUGGAUGAUGAAUGAGAAUGGCGAGAUGAUUUUGUAGUGAAUGAGUUUUGUUUUAAGUUUCAGGUUGUGAUGCAAAUUUCAGGCAAACUACUUGUGAAUGAUAAUAUUAAGGUGAUGAAUAAAUAGCCAAAAUCAUUACCAAUGUACCCGUUUCGAUUCAAUGGUAAUAUUGGGAAUGUUCUUCAAUAUUUUAAAAGCCUUUUUUUUUGUUGAAUUUUGAUUUUUGGAUCAACAAAGGCAAAUUGAUAUCUGUUAAGGAUAGUAUGUCAUUUCAUAUUGUUUAUACACUUUGGCACCGAUUUUUACAAGAAGCUAUUGCCCAGCGGAUCUUUCUUAGCUUUGAUUUUAAUGGUACAAGGGCAUUUUGGGUUUUUACUCAAUCAUCAAAUCAACCUUUAAAUAGUAUACUAAUGGCAAGGGAGGAAAGUGGAGAUGUGCUAAUACUUUCUAUCAAAGUGGAGAUGCAUCAAACCUUAAGCGAGGAAACUAUAAAUUACCCAUUGGGUCAGCCCUUCUAGCCAUUGUUGACUAAGGCUUGGCCUUCAUUUGUCUGAUAUUUUUUAAAAUCUUUAGGAAACAU